UGCGGGACUCGCGGAGGUGAGAGCAGCAGGUGAGGGUGGAGUGCAGCCGGUGGGCCAGGCUCGGGGAGGAGGCCGCUGCAGAGGAGGCCCUGGCAGCAGAGACCUCCGGGAAGGUAAGGAGGGCGGGAGGCAGCGCCCAGCUCCGAAGCCGAGAGCAGACUGCAGACCAGGAAGCAGCAGCCCUGGACGCCCCCUAAUGUCCGAAGGGCAUCAGUGAUGCGGGCCGCACGGUGGACGGAGAGAUGGCCCUGGGGCUGGUCCAGGGACUCCUUGAUUUUCACCUGGUUCCAGGUCCAAUCUCCGCCGCAUCACCUGUUGGGGGUGAAGCUGCACGACCUUGGACCAUCACGUGACUCCCCUGUGCCUCAGUUUCCUCAUCUGUAAAGCGGAGGAGAUGCCAGUAGCGCUGAGCUCACGGCCCUGUGGUGAAGAUUAAGAACCCAAGGGCCUUCUGGGGGAUGCGUCCUAUGGGGCAUGGAGGCUGCCGGAGCUUAAACAAACUGAAGCCCCCAAGAGUGGGACUGCCAUGCUCUGAGGAGGACAGAGCGCAGCUCCUGCUAUUCAGAGCCCAAGAUCGGACUGGACCAGUGACUAGUGAGAGCAUUCCACGUGUCAGCCCAGGAGCCAACGCCUCACCGGAGACUUUGCCACCUUCACCCGCUACCGCAGAAGCUGGGGAGAACACACACACAUAACAUUUUACAUUAAAAUAAUUAUUUUUUGGCCUA